GCAAGGGCUGCCCGCCAAGUUGUGUUUCUCUGGUGGUCCCCGCGCCAGGCAGCGUCCGUUACCCGGCGCGCAAGGAGCCCGCGCACACCCGGCGUCGGGAUGUUUGCUUUUUGAAUACGAAGCUCUGCGCAGAAAAGGGGCCAGGGGGGUGUUCCACGGAGCGAGCUCCGUUCCCUGAAAAAAAACAAGUGCUACUUUUAUGGCCAGAAGUGUGAGGAAGAGCUUGUAUCUCUAGCGUCGUUCUCUCAGGCACGCGCGGCCGGUCAGGCAGUUCCUGGCUCGGUGGGAAGUGGCAGCGCUCGGGAAUCUCACCGGGCGGGCGCGAGGAGCGAGGGCUGCUCGUCACACCCGUAGCGUCUGGGUGUGAGUAUUGCUAUGCUCAUGGAUCGUUAAUGUGUUAAUACGGUGAUUUCAGUUCCUCAGUGUGUUUUUCCAUCCAGCGCUCAAGGCUGUAGCCAAGAUCAGCUGUGGGGAGUGCUCCCUUCCAUCCCUUUCACCUGCCUUGCAGGCGUCCUGCGGGCCUCAAGGCCGGGCUCUUGCCUGCUUGGAGAGUUUUUCUCUAAUUGGAAUCUGGUUUUGUCUAAUUCUUGCUGUUUCGCUGUCACCUGCUGCCUGUCGAUCCACAGCGCGUAGCGCCCUACCAUUGGCAUUGGGUCAUUUGUUACUUGGGAGGCCCUGAAGUGUUUUGUUUACCAAGGCACUGGGUCAUUUAGUCUCUGUUGUUUGUUCCCUCCAAAGCAGGUGGACAAAACUCGCCUUCAAAGGACAAGGAGAUAAAAAGCUGGUUGUCAGGUAUUUUCGACCACGGGUGAACAUGGCUUGGCUGUGAGAUGUAGCGCAACGUGAAACCACCCAGGCGUGCAUCCUACAGACUUGGGUGGUGUUGGAGGAAACCAGAGCAGUGAGCAUGCGUGUGUGUGUCUGUGCCUCUGUCCACUGGCUGGCAGACAGGUGCUGAGCUCUGUGUUCCAGCUUGCUGGACCUGCCUGGGCUCAGCUGGCAGCAGGGCCCAGUAUUGGGCACCCAGGUUAGGAGGCUGCUUGUACUGCUUCGUAGCCACCAAAUAAAUCCUUCAGAGGGGAACACAGAUCUGCUAUGCCAGGAUCCUGCUCUCACUUGCCUGACAGCAAGUCAGGCUGCAUGGAUUCACUGGGGCCAAAGUGAAACUGAGCCUAGCUGUGCAGAGGGCUUGUGGCUCCUCUCUACACAUAUAUUUUUGCCUCUUAGCCCACCUUGGCUCAAGCAGACCACAUGGUUUUCCCUGCAGAGCUAGCUUUCAGCUGAACUGGCUGACGUUGAGCUGAUCCCAGGAAGGUGCUGGUGGGAUUAUCCCUGGAGCAGCAUCAUGAUCUUGCAGUGCCACAAACAAGAGGUGACCCCUCACCCCAGUGUCCUGAGCAGCGGUGACCAGGCAGCACUGUGCUCCAAACAGCUUCAGGCAUCCUCCACCCAGCAGAUGAACUACCAUCAAAGCAAGUGUUAUCUAACAAGCAUUUGGGAUGUUCACAACUGGAUAAAAUCCCAAACACCAGAAGACAUGCAUUGCUGAUGGCUUUACAACUUGUCUGCCCCAACCAACAGCACUCCAAAGAGCUCUCUGAUCAAAAUACAAGACCACUUGACAAAGUUCUUUCUGCACUUGCAGAGGCUCAUUCUGCUGAGGAGACAGUCCCUCACAAGACAGACAGAUUCUGCAAGAAAUCUGAGGGGUCAGACACUGCAUUACACAGACACUGAUGCCUCCUGGAGACUGCUGGUCCCACCACACCUGGGGAAGUGGUGGCAAAGCCCAGAGUGCUGCCUAAAUGCACAGGAUCCAAGUGGCUGCUAGGGUGGCAGUGGGAGACAGGGAUCACUCCCUCUGCCAUUUGCACUCCUGCUCCCAAGUACCCAUGUAGCACCAGUUCGCGAGGACAUCAUGGAAGAGACUUGAGUGAGGCUGGUGGAAGAAACUGUACAGCAAAGGCUCCAUUGUGCCUCCCUUGUGAAACCUCUCUGCUCGAUUUUCCUCCUUCUUUUGUUCCCAAAGGCAUGUUAGAGAAGAGGGAGCAUUUGUUCUGUGCCUGUUUCUUUCUGAAUAAUGAGCAAUCCUUUCUAUUAUCUGAUUACUGCUUGCUA